rnacentral:rRNA from 1 species
CCUACGGGUGGCUGCAGUGGGGAAUUUUACGCAAUGGGGGAAACCCUGACGUAGCGACACCGCGUGAGCGAAGAAGCCUUUUGGGGUGUAAAGCUCUGUCAGCUGGAACGAACACAAUGACGGUACCAGCAGAGGAAGCAUCGGCUAACUACGUGCCAGCAGCCGCGGUAAGACGUAGGAUGCAAGCGUUGUCCGGAUUCAUUGGGCGUAAAGAGUUCGUAGGUGGUCUGUUAAGUUUGGUGUUAAAGAGCGGGGCCCAACCCCGAUAGUGCACU